AUCAGCUGUAUUACUGAGGGAGAAGUUAUAUCGCUGUAUGUAUUAUGUGCACUAUCAUAAGCGUAUAGCUUUUCCCCUUAGUGGUACAGCUAUC
rnacentral:pre_miRNA from 1 species